rnacentral:lncRNA from 1 species
UAAAUGCAAUUUUACAAAGAGAGACCCAACAUCUCACCAGGAGAGUCAGAAAUUCCCUUACCAUGUGGACAUGGCCAUACAGCCAGUGGCUGGGAGGUCCUGGGAAACUCCUGAAACCCUUGAUCAGUUUCUGCCUUGUCUGAAAUAGCUGGAUGGCUUUCAGAGCAAUGCAGGUGAAGAUCAAUGCCACAGUCCAAUAGAAAAACCGAGAG